GCCUAUUUAAAUUUAGGGCUAACCCGUCUCUGUGGCAAAAGAGUGGGAAGAGCUCCGGGUAGAAGUGACAGACCUACCGAACCUGGUGAUAGCUGGUUGCCUGAGAAAUGGAUAGAAGUUCAGCCUCGCACACCCCAAAUCAAAAACAUAACAUCAAGACAAUGAGGGAAAUAUACGAGAGUUAGUUAAAGGGGGUACAGCCCCUCUAACAAAGGAUACAACCUUUACAGGAGGAUAAAGAUCAUAAUAUAUAAAACAUACUGUUUUAGUGGGCCUAAAAGCAGCCAUCUAAAUAGAAAGCGUUAAAGCUCAGACAGAAAAAAGUUUAUUAUACUGAUAAAAAAAUCUUAUUCCCCUAACAAUAUCAGGCUAACCCAUGCCCACAUGGAAGAAAUUAUGCUAAAAUGAGUAACAAGAAGACCUGCUCUUCUCCAAGCACAAGUGUAAACCAGAUCGGACAAACCACUGGAAAUUAACGAACCCAACCCAAGAGAGUAAUGUGAAUAACAAAAAAACCAAGAAAACCCCACAAUUAAACAAUCGUUAACCCCACACUGGAGUGCUAUUUUUAAAGGAAAGACUAAAAGAAAGGGAAGGAACUCGGCAAACACAAGCCUCGCCUGUUUACCAAAAACAUCGCCUCCUGCAAUCAAACUCAGUAUAGGAGGUCCAGCCUGCCCAGUGACUACGGGUUCAACGGCCGCGGUAUUUUGACCGUGCAAAGGUAGCGCAAUCACUUGUCUUUUAAAUAGAGACCUGUAUGAAUGGCUAAACGAGGGCUUAACUGUCUCCCCCUUCAAGUCAGUGAAAUUGAUCUAUCCGUGCAGAAGCGGGUAUAACCAUACAAGACGAGAAGACCCUUUGGAGCUUAAGGUACAAAAUUCAAUCACGUUAAGCAACUCAAUAAAAAGCAAGAACUUAGUGAAAAAUGAAAUUUUACCUUCGGUUGGGGCGACCACGGAGGAAAAACAAGCCUCCGAGUGGAAUGGGCCAAAUCCCUAAAACUAAGAGAAACAUCUCUAAGCCACAGAACAUCUGACCAAAAAUGAUCCGGCUAAUAAGUCGAUCAACGAACCAAGUUACCCUAGGGAUAACAGCGCAAUCCUCUCCCAGAGUCCAUAUCGACGAGGGGGUUUACGACCUCGAUGUUGGAUCAGGACAUCCUAAUGGUGCAGCCGCUAUUAAGGGUUCGUUUGUUCAACGAUUAAAGUCCUACGUGAUCUGAGUUCA
rnacentral:rRNA from 1 species